GCUUUCGUGGCGUAACGGUAGCACACUCGGCGCAUAUUCGAGAGGUCCAGGUUGGAGUCCCGGCGAGGGCA
rfam:Stegodyphus mimosarum contig119021, whole genome shotgun sequence.